rnacentral:ncRNA from 1 species
UUGCCGUGUGACUGACGGAAUUAAGUGGGGAUUACCACAGAGGAGCACGGUAAGAGUUUCAGCCGACCGUCUGGGCAGUCC